rnacentral:rRNA from 1 species
UACGAAGGGGGCUAGCGUUGUUCGGAAUUACUGGGCGUAAAGGGCGCGUAGGCGGCGUGUCAAGUCAGACGUGAAAUCCCUCGGCUUAACCGGGGAACUGCGUCUGAUACUGGAUGGCUUGAGGUUGGGAGAGGGAUGCGGAAUUCCAGGUGUAGCGGUGAAAUGCGUAGAUAUCUGGAGGAACACCGGUGGCGAAGGCGGCAUCCUGGACCAAUUCUGACGCUGAGGAGCGAAAGCGUGGGGAGCGAACAGG